UGUUGAGUGUUGGGAUUAAAGGUGUACACCACCAUGCUCAGAUUAGAAAUUCGUGACUCACAAAGGUGUAAUGGCUUGUUUAGAGUUCCAUCAGUAGAUUAUAGACUUGCUUUGAGUCUUUUUUUGGGGGGGCAAGGAUCAAUUAAGGUUCACAGACACACAUGAGCAGACGCUAGAUGCUAGAUUGGGGUGACUACGUUUUCUGAUUUUAGAUUUCCCUGGCCAGGUACCUAACAGAGGAAUAAAGAGGGAGGAUGUUUCUGAGCACUGGAUAAUCCAGCAGCUUUUACCCUUCUUCCUCACUGAGCUCUUGUCACAAACAAGUCACUGACAAGGUGUGCUUGUUUGUCAGCAACUGGGUCUGUAAGCCACUAACAUCAUGAUUUACAGGUCAACUUAUCCUUCCCUGCCCCACCCAGAAAUCAUUCCAGUGUCCACCUUAAAUGGGCCUUGAAAUUCUUGCCAGCAGACGGCCUGUGGGAUGGGCUACUGUCAUCCAGGAGAUCAGGACUGGAAUCCCAACCUUCGUCAUCCCGAAUCGAGAUGCCUAAAGCAAGCAGAGCCCUCAACUAAGAACAUGUAUGCAGCGAAUUUUCCCAGCAGCUCAGACAGCAGGAGGCAAAGGGCAUCACAAAAGCAGGCUCACCUGCCAACUCACCUGGAGCUGUGCACCCAGUGCUCUGUCCCAAAGUCUGUCUCCUCCACAGGGCACAGCAGAUGCCAUGCACGGAGGAGGCACUGAGAACCACUGGUGCCAACUACAAUAUGGACAAUCACAUGAACAGCCUGGCCCACUGAGUAUAGAGAACAGGCCCUGGACGACAGCAUGACAAACGGCACAGUCCGCGGCCAGCAGGAGCCGGCAACCGUGCAGACAAGCUUUCAGCUUGGGAGUUCAUCACACAACUAGUCCACAUUCUCCAGAGGCCUGGGGUGGAAAAGCCCAAGUGUGGAUAUAUGUGGGACUGGGGGAAGCAAGAAGGAAUGAGAAACUUGACACAACCUGCUGGGCAUGUGUGAUCCC